UUAUUGCUAGUUACCAUCAUUAAGUUGGGGACUCUAGCGAGACUGCCAGUGAUAAACUGGAGGAAGUGGGGAUGACGUCAAAUCAUCAUGCCCUUAUGACCUGGGCUACAAACGUGAUACAAUGGCUGGAACAAAGGGAGGCGAAGGGGUGACCUGGAGCGAAACUCAAAAAACAGUCUCAGUUCGGAUUGAAGUCUGCAACUCGACUUCAUGAAGUCGGAAUCGCUAGUAAUCGCGGAUCAGAACGCCGCGGUGAAUACGUUCUCGGGUUU
rnacentral:rRNA from 1 species